rnacentral:lncRNA from 1 species
CCAUGGUCUAAAACGUAAAAGCCGUUCAAACAUCAUUUAGGGUGAUUAAUUGCAGUAAAAGGGUGGAGUAAAGAUUUCAUUUCCGAUGUAAUGUUGCUGUUCACCUCCAGUUGGGUAUGAUAUUCGAUUUCUUGCAAGUGGCACUUGUCAUCCCCGGCAAAAACACCCGAAGAGAUUGACAAGAUAAUGAAGGAACAUGAUAUUGUCAAUCAUCCCCCGAAGCAUAAACUGAAGGAAUCAUUAUUGCCACACAGAAGCAGUAUUGAAAUUAGCUGAUGGCGCAUUGAGUUACAAAUUAAGGAACAAAUGAAAAGACGAUCCAUGCGGGACAUUAAUUCUAGUUCCUACUGCGAAAUUAAAGUAGUAAUAUAACUUGCGACUAAUUACACCUUAGCGGCACAGAAACGGAGAACACUUAGUGAACAAUUUAAGGUGAGAUAAUUCUAAUCACUAAUCUUAUGAAAACACUUGAGCUGUAAAUCA